AUAUAUAUAUAUAAAUAUAUAUAUAUAUAUAUAUAUGUGUGUGUGUGUGUUACAUCAAAUUAAAGCCCUUUCUGUCCUUUAAAAAACAGUAUAUAAUAUGUGUCGGUGCAAUAAACGAGAGAGAUGCAAAUUGCAGUUGAAUGCAUACAGCAAGAAAAUGCGAAAAUUGCUUGUGUCAUUAAGCGUAAGACAAGCUUCUGAAGCUGUGUCCUUAAG